rnacentral:rRNA from 1 species
GACGAACGCUGGCGGCGUGCUUAACACAUGCAAGUCGAGCGGAAAGGCCACUUCGGUGGUACUCGAGCGGCGAACGGGUGAGUAACACGUGAGUAAUCUGCCCCUGGCUUUGGGAUAGCCACCGGAAACGGUGAUUAAUACCGGAUACGACCACUUCUCGCAUGGGAUGGGGGUGGAAAGUUUUUUCGGCCAGGGAUGUGCUCGCGGCCUAUCAGCUUGAUGGUGAGGUAAUGGCUAACCAUGGCCUCGACGGGUAGCCGGCCUGAGCGGGGGACCGGUCACACUGGGACUGAGACACGGCCCAGACUCCUACGGGAGGCAGCAGUGGGGAAUAUUGGACAAUGGGCGGAAGCCUGAUCCAGCAACGCCGCGUGAGGGAUGACGGCCUUCGGGUUGUAAACCUCUUUCAGCAGGGACGAAGCGCAAGUGACGGUACCUGCAGAAGAAGCACCGGCCAACUACGUGCCAGCCGCCGCCGUAA